AGAGUUUGAUCCUGGCUCAGGAUGAACGCUGGCGGCGUGCUUAACACAUGCAAGUCGAACGAGCGGAGAGCUUCGGCUCAAAGCGAGUGGCGGACGGGUGAGUAACGCGUGGGUAACCUGCCCUAUACAGGGGAAUAACAGUGAGAAAUCACUGUUAAUGCCGCAUAAGCGCACAGUGCCGCAUGGCAGGGUGCGAAAAGCUCCGGCGGUAUAGGAUGGACCCGCGUCUGAUUAGGCAGUUGGCGGGGUAACGGCCCACCAAACCGACGAUCAGUAGCCGACCUGAGAGGGUGACCGGCCACAUUGGGACUGAGACACGGCCCAGACUCCUACGGGAGGCAGCAGUGGGGAAUAUUGCACAAUGGGGGAAACCCUGAUGCAGCAACGCCGCGUGAGUGAAGAAGUAUUUCGGUAUGUAAAGCUCUAUCAGCAGGGAAGAAGAAAGACGGUACCUGACUAAGAAGCACCGGCUAAAUACGUGCCAGCAGCCGCGGUAAUACGUAUGGUGCAAGCGUUAUCCGGAUUUACUGGGUGUAAAGGGAGCGUAGGCGGUCUGGCAAGCCAGAAGUGAAAGCCCGGGGCUUAACCCCGGGACUGCUUUUGGAACUGUUAGACUAGAGUGUCGGAGAGGUAAGUGGAAUUCCUAGUGUAGCGGUGAAAUGCGUAGAUAUUAGGAGGAACACCAGUGGCGAAGGCAGCCUGCCAGGCCGUGACUGACACUGAUGCACGAAAGCGUGGGUAUCGAACAGGAUUAGAUACCCUGGUAGUCCACGCAGUAAACGAUGAUCACUAGCUGUUUGCGAUAGAAUGUAAGCGGCACAGCGAAAGCGUUAAGUGAUCCACCUGGGGAGUACGCCGGCAACGGUGAAACUCAAAGGAAUUGACGGGGGCCCGCACAAGCGGAGGAACAUGUGGUUUAAUUCGAUGAUACGCGAGGAACCUUACCCGGGUUUGAACGCGGGAGGACGGUCUGGGAAACCAGGCUUCUGGCAACAGUCUACUGCGAGGUGCUGCAUGGUUGUCGUCAGCUCGUGCCGUGAGGUGUCGGCUUAAGUGCCAUAACGAGCGCAACCCUUGUCUUUAGUUGCCAUCAUUCAGUUGGGCACUCUAGAGAGACUGCCGGGGACAACUCGGAGGAAGGUGGGGAUGACGUCAAAUCAUCAUGCCCCUUAUGUUCUGGGCUACACACGUGCUACAAUGGUCGGUACAAAGAGUCGCGAGACCGUGAGGUGGAGCCAAUCUCAAAAGCCGAUCCCAGUUCGGAUUGCAGGCUGCAACUCGCCUGCAUGAAGUCGGAGUUGCUAGUAAUCGUGGAUCAGAAUGCCACGGUGAAUGCGUUCCCGGGUCUUGCACACACCGCCCGUCA
rnacentral:rRNA from 1 species